ACGUUAGCGGCGGACGGGUGAGUAGCACGUGGGUAACCUACCUAUAAGACUGGGAUAACUUCGGGAAACCGGAGCUAAUACCGGAUAAUAUUUCGAACCGCAUGGUUCGAUAGUGAAAGGUGGUUUUGCUAUCACUUAUAGAUGGACCCGCGCCGUAUUAGCUAGUUGGUAAGGUAACGGCUUACCAAGGCGACGAUACGUAGCCGACCUGAGAGGGUGAUCGGCCACACUGGAACUGAGACACGGUCCAGACUCCUACGGGAGGCAGCAGAC
rnacentral:rRNA from 1 species